rnacentral:rRNA from 1 species
AAGGUAGCUUGCUACUGGACCUAGCGGCGGACGGGUGAGUAAUGCUUAGGAAUCUGCCUAUUAGUGGGGGGACAACAUUCCGAAAGGAAUGCUAAUACCGCAUACGCCCUACGGGGGAAAGCAGGGGAUCUUCGGACCUUGCGCUAAUAGAUGAGCCUAAGUCGGAUUAGCUAGUUGGUGGGGUAAAGGCCUACCAAGGCGACGAUCUGUAGCGGGUCUGAGAGGAUGAUCCGCCACACUGGGACUGAGACACGGCCCAGACUCCUACGGGAGGCAGCAGUGGGGAAUAUUGGACAAUGGGCGGAAGCCUGAUCCAGCCAUGCCGUGUGUGUGAAGAAGGCCUUUUGGUUGUAAAGCACUUUAAGCGAGGAGGAGGCUCCUUUAGUUAAUACCUAAAGUGAGUGGACGUUACUCGCAGAAUAAGCACCGGCUAACUCUGUGCCAGCAGCCGCGGUAAUACAGAGGGUGCGAGCGUUAAUCGGAUUUACUGGGCGUAAAGCGUGCGUAGGCGGCUUUUUAAGUCGGAUGUGAAAUCCCUGAGCUUAACUUAGGAAUUGCAUUCGAUACUGGAAAGCUAGAGUAUGGGAGAGGAUGGUAGAAUUCCAGGUGUAGCGGUGAAAUGCGUAGAGAUCUGGAGGAAUACCGAUGGCGAAGGCAGCCAUCUGGCCUAAUACUGACGCUGAGGUACGAAAGCAUGGGGAGCAAACAGGAUUAGAUACCCUGGUAGUCCAUGCCGUAAACGAUGUCUACUAGCCGUUGGGGCCUUUGAGGCUUUAGUGGCGCAGCU